rnacentral:lncRNA from 1 species
AAGCCAGCAGCAAGGACAAGCUUUGGAGGGAGCUGGGAGUGCUGAGCUCUGCCUGGUCCAGCCUUGCCUGGACCUCCUGGAGCUGCCUGACACCUCCCAUCCACAGUAGGCAUCCCCCAAAGCCCCUUUUCUGUCCUUCCAGCAGGUUCCUGACCAUAGCACGUUCCCAGACUGAGUCCCCAGUGCUCUCCUGGACCCAGGCCUGGUUCCCAUGGAUGUCUGCAGUCUCCAGAGCUGCCCUGACUUGCUUGCAAAAGGUCUUUGUGCUCCUGCCUGUGCUGGAGGCAAUGCCUGGUGUGGGUACCAGUGGGACAGGUCACGUUUCCGGUGUCAUGUGCUGUCCAUGACGGAUGGCAGAGCCAGUUUUUCUGCUCCAAAAGUGGGACUGGGGAGGAGACCGCAACACUCAAAUAGCCGGAGCCCCGGCUGCUGCCAGCCAGGCAUCCAGGAGGUCACUUCUUUUUCAGCUCCAGGGUUUGGGAGGGAAGAUAAGGAGAAGGAGGAGGACAAGAAAGAGAAGGAAGAAAAGGAGAAGGAAAAGACUGAGGAAGAAAAACAGAAGGAGAAGGAGAAGCAGAAGAGAAGGAAGAAAGAAGAAGAAAAGGACCAAGGCAUUGCCAAGGAUGAUGAGAAGGAAGACAAGGAUUAGUCUUGCUGUGCUGGAGCAGCAGUGCACGCCCUGGGCAUGCUGAGGAGGUGGAAAUGGCAGCUUGGGCUGGAGAGCAACUGGGCCACUGUUAGCCAAAUAAAGAUGUUGUGAUCUUCA